AGGGGGCCAUAUAAACUUUUUUCGAACGACUCCACUCAAAGUUGUUUGGGAGCAUAUGCUCCUAUCAACUUUACACAUGACACACAAAAGAAGUACUUUGAUCCUAUUAGACGGGGCAAGUUGAAGAAGCUAGGACAGAAGGGUAGAGUUCAAGAUUGUUGUUGUUGUUGUUUGAUUAUGUGUGUAAUAUGAUUUGAUAAAUUCCAGUUAUGAACUCUUGAAUCGUAAAUGCAAUUGGCUUAACUAUUUGAUUGAUAACUUAUUUGUAUUUGUUGAUUAAGGGUCGACACUGAAUUGGCAUGCAUAAAUCCGAUGCUAGAAUAUAAGAAAGUUUCACAUAAUCGUUACAAACUUAUAUUCAUAAGUAGUGGAGGUCGCUUAUAAAUGAUGGCGUUAAGUUUAAUUCUAGCAUGAGUAACAUGAUGUCAUAGCUGCAAGUGCUUUGUCAAUGCUUAUGAUUUUCAUUAAACAUAAUGAUCUUUGAUUGUAUCUCUAUUAUGAUGUCAUGUAGGGAACUUUAGAAGAAUGUUUUGGGUUGUCGA
rnacentral:lncRNA from 1 species